GGAACUUUAAAUAUUUUUUUUUAAUUUCAAAAAGAACUUCAAAUAUUAAUUACGUUCAAAAAAACUUCAAAUACUUAUUUAGUAGUUGUAAUGUUAAUCAUUUUAUCAAUGCUGAAAAAUACAUAAACACAAAUAAAAAUAUCUGAGACUCUUUAAAAAUAGUAUAUAAGAAAAAAACCAAACAACAUUCAGUUUUAUAUUGUAAUCUAAUAAUAUUAAUGUAUAUAUAUAUUAUAUAUAAAGUUAUUUUAAAACCCGCACGGGUGUGCGGGCCAAAAAUCUAGUUAUAUAUUAUAUGAGCACUUUUGUAGUCUCGCUUCAUUUGUUUCGGAAGACGGGAGUUCGUAUGCAAAACUAAUGACGACCGAGUAUUGGUUGGGGGUCGGCUUCUAGAAGGACGGUGGCUAAUAGAAAUAAAGUAAAUAACAACGUGCUUUCUUUAACAAAACUUAUAAUAAUAUAUAGUGUCUACUUUUUCAGGAAAAAAAAACACAUAAAACAAAAGCAAAUGUCAAAUUUGAAAAAUCGAGCGUAUAUUAUAUUUUGAUUUUUCUCCCAGGUUUCAAUUCUUCUAGAAAGACCAUCAGAAUCAUCAGACACAAGUCCAACUGUCAAAGAUAUUAGACUUUUGUUGUCUCACGCAAAUACAAUUUACUCACUCAAUCAGUGGCGGAGCUACACUAUUGGCACCUGGAUCAAUUGACCCAUGUGAACUUUUUAUAAAAAUAUUUUUUACAUGUAUAAUUCUUUAAAAAUUAGAUAAAUCUUGUAAACUUUAGCUAAAUGACCCCUAUAACAUAUGCUAAUUUUGAAUUUGACCCCUCUAAAAUUAUUUUCUACCUCCGCCACUGCACUCAAUAUAGAAUCAUGAAUCAAAAUGAUUUCGUCUAGUUUUCAAAACAAAAAGACAUAAAUAUGUAAUAUACUGUCUAGUCGUCUACAUUUGUUUUUUUACCAAAAUCAAAUGUAUACGACAUAUAUACUCUUAUCGGAUCUUAGAUCCAGAUUACAAUCGCCUAUGUAUAUUUUGGUGUUUUCCAUAUUUAGAUUAUACAAUGUUUAAUGUAGAAGGAAUCAUAGAAGAACAAAUUUGUAAAUCAACUGCGACAAAAGACAAUAAGAUAUACCAUAAAUUAGCACAUAAAUACCUUUUUAUUUUAAAAUUAGAAUAUAAUAUCAAUCAAAAGUUAAAAAUAUAUUUAUAUUUGAAUUAGGAUUUAAUGUUUAGAAGUUAGGGUUUAGUUAAUUGAGAGUGAAGUUACGAUAAAAGUUUAACGUUGAAAAUAAUCUAGAGAAAUUGCAGUGCAUUAUACAAGGAUAACAUGCAUAUUUGUGGGGUUGAAAGUCAGUCUUUUCGAAUGACGUGUUUUUUAAUGUCCAUAGCAACCCUAUCAUCUAAUACUUCAACCCCCUAUUCGAAAAUGUGGCGCCGAGGACCGCAUAGUCGCCGGAAAAUCGUAACACAGCCAUGAACCGUGGCGAAUUAGAGUUAUUCGCUCAAAAAAUCAGAAAUGCCAUAAAAACUCUAUUCUAACUCAAUUCAACCUAUAAUCGAACAAAAUAGGUAAGAUUUAUGAAGUUUUCACGAAACCAGCAUCAAAAACGAAGAAAAUGGUGUAAAACCUAAGGAGCCAUCGAUUUGAAUCGCAGAAAACCUAAAAACCUAAGGAAGAAGACGACCAGUAAAUGAUGUAAAUACCCUUCGUUAAACAUAAAAUUAAAAAAUAGGCGAAAAUACAUCCAGGACAGCUCGAACCUAGGACGCUGAGACUUUCACAGACGAUUAAACCAUUACGCCAACUGCUUUUUACUGUAUUCACUAUUAAGCUAGAUAUAUAUGUAAAUUAUAACAGAAACAACAUAAAAUUCCCUAAAAUAAAUCCCCGCGUAAUCCCCGUAUAAUCUCCGAUUUUUUUCAUUCGGCACUAGGCGUAACCGGAGCGUACGAGGAACGCCUAACGAGUUUCCGAACAGGACUUCAACCUAAUAUCUUAUAUGUUUACAAACUCUAUAACUCAUUAUUACGCGUGAAGAGAGAGACUACGCUCAUCAGUACAAUCGAUAUACUUUUCGUUCAAAAAUAUCUAUCUCAUCUCUCUCUAUAUUUUUGGUUUAGCGACCUCCUUCUCUCACAAUUUCUUUUGUUUCUCCGUAGUUAUGAUCCUCUUUCUCUCACAAUCUCUUUGAUUUCUUUGCCAAAACCAUUGUUCACAAAGAUUAAUCUUCCAUCUCUCUCAAUCUCUUUGGUUUCUCCCACAGAACCCUUCUCUCUACAUAGACGAAAUUGCACCGGACUAUCUGUUUCAGUCUCACUAGAUUCAAGAGUCGUGGUGGUGGCACGGAUCCGAUCAUUUGUAUAUAUGAAGCUAUCACGCAUGGUACCACCUUUCAGAAAGUUUCUGCGCUCGUCGAACUGACUUUGAUUAUUCAGCCGGACACAUACUUUGAGCUUGACGAAGGAGAUUUAUGUCUUUCUGAUGGGGAAGAUGACAAAAUAGUAGAUAAAAUGGCCAGCCUUAUCAGAGACGGUACCAGUUUUACAAAAAAAAUAUUCACAGGCGGAGCUACAAAGGCCGAUGCAGAGUGGAUGAGAGAGGAGGCCGAUGAUGCAGCCUUAGCAAGGAAGAAAACAAAGAGGAAAAGCACUGGCAAAACACCCACUUACGUUGGUGCUGAUGCAGAUCAUGCUUUCAAUUUUCUUUAAUAAUAUAAUUUGGGGAAUAGUCGGUUAGAGAUUUUACUUGACUUUUUGUAAUAGUUAGCUGGUAAUAUAUACUAAUUAUCCCGACAUUGUUAUAGUUAGCCGGUAAUAUCCACUAAUUAAUUAUGUAAUUUGUGAAACAGCCAGUUAAGAUUUUACUUGAUUUUUGUUAUAGUUUGGAAAUGUCUUUCAUUUUUCUUUAAUGAUGUAAUUUGCAAAAUAGUAGGUUAAGAUUUUACUUGAUUUUUUUUGUUAUAGUUAGCCGGUAAUAUAUACAAAUUAUCCUGACAUUGUUAUAGUUAGCCGGUAAUAUAUACUAAUCAAUGAUGUAAUUUGUGAAAUAGCCGGUUAAGAUUAUACUUGGUUUUUAUUAUAGUUUAUAAAUGUCUCUCAUUUUUCUUUAGUGAUGUAAUUUUAAAAUAGCCGAUUAAAAUUUUACUUGACUUUUUUUUAUAGUUAGCCGGCAAUAUAUACAAAUUAUCUCGAUAUAUAGUUAUUCAAUAAUAUAUACUAAUUAAUUAAUGAUGUAAUUUGUGAAAUAGCCGGUUAAGAUUUUACUUGACGUUAUACAAAUUAAAAACUUUAGGCCAAAUUGAAAACGACUGAGACUCUGAGGUCCAUUCAAAUAAUUCUUAAAAAGUUUGAAAUGUAGAAUGUGAAAGUUUGGCGUCGAUUGUAAAUCUAUUUUACACUUAGAAAUAUUGGAGCCAAUUUGAGAAUACCCAAAGGUUGGAGGGUUGGAGGGCGUAUGUUACAAAACAUAAGAAAUCACUAUUGUUGCUCGAUCUCUUCCGUGACGAGACAUAGACGGCAAGGAUGAGCACGACAAUGAGGCUUGAAUCCGAGCAUGACGAUGUCGACAGGGUUAUGAUGGAAAUGGUUCGGUGAGCGACAGAGAAGAAUAAGCUUGAGAAUAAAAUAUUUUUGGUGGCUUCGUCAAGAUGAAAAAGGAAUACGAAGCAAGAUAGAGAUGAAGGAGUGAAACUUGAAGCGAUCAUGUAUAGUAAAUGAUUCUUUCGAGUGAUGGAGGAGUACACCGUGUGAAUCUUGUAACGGUGUCAAACUCGACGUAAACAUAGGUGAAAGAUGAAGCACAGCCGUGAAAGGGAUAAGCUUGAUGACGAUGAUUUACAUUCGGAAUUAGGAUUACGACGGAGUAAACAAAGUAAUUGGAAACAAUGAGAGAUGAUAUGGUAGAAGAGAGUCGAAGAGUGUAUUGAUUAAUGUAUUCAUUAUAUAACAUGUAUAUCUAUAUAUUUACCCGUGUGAAAUUAGUGAUUUUUUUUUGUUUUUUCACGCGAUAUGACUGGUCAGAAGUUUUGGCUACUCAUAGAAUCACGAGUUACACAAAUACAUGUAAAUGUGUGUAUAGAUUUAUAAU